rnacentral:rRNA from 1 species
UACGGAGGGUGCAAGCGUUAUCCGGAUUUACUGGGUUUAAAGGGUGCGUAGGUGGGUUUGUAAGUCAGUGGUGAAAUCUCCGAGCUUAACUCGGAAACUGCCAUUGAUACUAUAGAUCUUGAAUUAUCUGGAGGUGAGCGGAAUAUGUCAUGUAGCGGUGAAAUGCUUAGAUAUGACAUAGAACACCAAUUGCGAAGGCAGCUUACUACACAGUAAUUGACGCUGAGGCACGAAAGCGUGGGGAUCAAACAGG